rnacentral:rRNA from 1 species
AGGGUUUGAUCCUGGCUCAGAACGAACGUUGGCGGCGUGGAUUAGGCAUGCAAGUCGAACGAGAAGGGUGCCUUCGGGUGCCUGGAAAGUGGCGUAAGGGUGAGUAAUGCGUAGAUAACCUACCCUGGGGACCGGGAUAGCCAGCGGAAACGCUGAGUAAUACCGGGCGAUGUCAUCAGCUCGCAUGGGCUUUUGACCAAAUGGGUUCCGCCCUUGGAGGGGUCUACGUGGUAUUAGCUUGUUGGUGGGGUAAUGGCCUACCAAGGCGACAAUGCCUAGCGGGUGUGAGAGCAUGGCCCGCCACACUGGGACUGAGACACUGCCCAGACUCCUACGGGAGGCUGCAGUCGAGAAUCUUCCGCAAUGGGCGCAAGCCUGACGGAGCGACGCCGCGUGUGGGAUGAAGGCCUUCGGGUUGUAAACCACUGUCAGAGGGAAGGAAAGCUUCGGUUUGACCGACCCUCAAAGGAAGCUCGGGCUAAGUUCGUGCCAGCAGCCGCGGUAACACGAACCGAGCUAACGUUGUUCGGAAUCACUGGGCUUAAAGGGCGCGUAGGCGGCGUCAACAGUUGAAGGUGAAAUCCCUCGGCUCAACCGAGGAACUGCCUCCAAUACUAUGACGCUCGAGGAAGGUAGGGGCACGUGGAACUUCUGGUGGAGCGGUGAAAUGCGUAGAUAUCAGAAGGAACUCCUGUGGCGAAAGCGAUGUGCUGGACCUUUUCUGACGCUGAGGCGCGAAAGCUAGGGUAGCGAACGGGAUUAGAUACCCCGGUAGUCCUAGCCGUAAACGAUGGGCACUAGGUAGUGGAUCUUCCGAUGGAUGCACUGCCGAAGCAAAAGUGUUAAGUGCCCCGCCUGGGGAGUAUGGUCGCAAGGCUGAAACUCAAAGGAAUUGACGGGGGCUCACACAAGCGGUGGAGCAUGUGGCUUAAUUCGAGGCUACGCGAAGAACCUUAUCCUGGGUUUGACAUACGCGAAAGCGCAGGUAGUAGGAUCCCUGAAAGGGGUACCAACGGUAUCCAGUCCGGAGCCUGUACAGGUGCUGCAUGGCUGUCGUCAGCUCGUGUCGUGAGAUGUUGGGUUAAGUCCCGUAACGAGCGAAACCCUUGUUUCUAGUUGCCAGCGGGUAAUGCCGGGGACUCUAGAGAGACUGCCGGUGCAAACCGGAGGAAGGUGGGGAUGACGUCAAGUCCGCAUGGCCUUUAUGCCCAGGGCUGCACACGUGCUACAAUGGCGUGAACAAAGGGAAGCAAUACCGCGAGGUGGAGCCAAUCCCAUAAAUCACGCCCCAGUUCGGAUUGCAGGCUGCAACUCGCCUGCAUGAAGCCGGAAUCGCUAGUAAUCGCGGGUCAGCUAUACCGCGGUGAAUGUGUUCCUGAGCCUUGUACACACCGCCCGUCAAGCCACGAAAGCGGGGAGCAUCCGAAGUCGCUGAGCCAACCUUGAGAGGCAGGCGCCGAAGAUGAGCUCCGUGAUUGGGACUAAGUC